rnacentral:misc_RNA from 1 species
GAAAUGCGAUAAGUAAUGUGAAUUGCAGAAUUCCGUGAAUCAUCGAAUCUUUGAACGCACAUUGCGCCCUCCGGCAUUCCGGGGGGCAUGCCUGUCCGAGCGUCAUUUUCACACCUCAAGCGCGGCUUGUGUGUUGGGUCGGCGUCCCCGCGCGUCUUGCGCCGCGAGGGACGGACCUGAAAGGCAGCGGCGGCGUCGCGGUCUCGCGAUCGGCCCGGGCGUAUGGGGCUCUGUCAGCACGCCCGUGGCGCGGACCGACGUCUCGCCUUCUCUUCCCACUCUCAAGGUUGACCUCGGAUCAGGUAGGGAUACCCGCUGAACUUAA